AUACUUACUUGGCAGAAGAGACACCAUGAUCACGAAGGCGGUUUUCCCAGGGUGAGAGGCUCAUCCGUUGUGCUCUGGAUGUGCUGACCUCUGCGAUUUCCCCAAAUGUGGGAAACUCUACUGCAUACUUUGAGGUAGUGGGGGGACUGUGUUCACCCUCUCCCCUG
ensembl:snRNA U1 U1 spliceosomal RNA